rnacentral:rRNA from 1 species
CUCCUUUGACGUUAGCGGCGGACGGGUGAGUAACACGUGGGUAACCUACCUAUAAGACUGGGAUAACUUCGGGAAACCGGAGCUAAUACCGGAUAAUAUUUCGAACCGCAUGGUUCGAUAGUGAAAGGUGGUUUUGCUAUCACUUAUAGAUGGACCCGCGCCGUAUUAGCUAGUUGGUAAGGUAACGGCUUACCAAGGCGACGAUACGUAGCCGACCUGAGAGGGUGAUCGGCCACACUGGAACUGAGACACGGGUCCAGACUCCUACGGGAGGCAGCAGG